UACGGAGGAGGCAAGCGUUAUCCGGAAUUAUUGGGCGUAAAGCGUCCGCAGGUGGCUAUUCAAGUCUGCGGUCAAAGACUGGGGCUUAACCCUGGAAAGGCCGUGGAAACUGAAGAGCUAGAGUGCAGUAGGGGUAGAGGGAAUUCCCGGUGUAGCGGUGAAAUGCGUAGAGCUCAGGAAGAACAUCGGUGGCGAAAGCGCUCUGCUGGACUGCAACUGACACUCAGGGACGAAAGCUAGGGGAGCGAAUGGG
rnacentral:rRNA from 1 species